rnacentral:rRNA from 1 species
AUUGAACGCUGGCGGAAUGCCUUACACAUGCAAGUCGAACGGCAGCACGGACUUCGGUCUGGUGGCGAGUGGCGAACGGGUGAGUAAUACAUCGGAACGUGCCCAGUCGUGGGGGAUAACGUAGCGAAAGCUACGCUAAUACCGCAUACGAUCUAAGGAUGAAAGCGGGGGAUCGCAAGACCUCGCGCGAUUGGAGCGGCCGAUGGCAGAUUAGGUAGUUGGUAGGGUAAAGGCCUACCAAGCCGACGAUCUGUAGCUGGUCUGAGAGGAUGAUCAGCCAAACUGGGACUGAGACACGGCCCAGACUCCUACGGGAGGCAGCAGUGGGGAAUUUUGGACAAUGGGCGCAAGCCUGAUUCAGCCAUUCCGCGUGCAGGAUGAAGGCCUUCGGGUUGUAAACUGCUUUUGUACAGAACGAAAAGGCUCUGGUUAAUACCCGGGGCUCAUGACGGUACUGUAAGAAUAAGCACCGGCUAACUACGUGCCAGCCGCCGCAGUAA